UACCACUCUAAUAAUGUUUGUGUCCAUGUGUGUGUGUGUUGACCCAUAUCUGUUUGCGUGUGUCUGUGUGAGUUUGUUAAUGGGUGUAUGGGUGUGUGUCCGUGCGUGCGUGCGUGCGUGUCUGUCUGUCAGUCAUGUCUAUACAGAACUGCAUUUCUCUCACCCCUCUCUGAUCGCCUGCUGCUGAAAGGGACACCUCUUCCACACAAAUCCUGUCAUCUCCCUAUCAAUCACUUUCUCUCUCUCACCUCUCUUUUGCACUCUCUCAUUCCCUCCCUUUCUCCCCCCUCUCUCUACCCCCAGUUCUCUACGGUUCUCUCUCUCUCAGGCCCUCUGGUUCUAGCUAACAGAUGUUCUCUGCUCCAUGUGGGAGGGCAUUCCUGUUCAGAGGGAGGGAAAAAAACAAGAGAAAAAAAAUACCAGAGGAAAGAGAAAACAGACGAGGGCAACGGACACACAUCUCUGGCCUGCUCUAUUUCACUCCCAAGUCUGCGUGUGUUUGUGUGCGUGUGUGUUUGUGUGUGUGUUGAGAGUGUCGGGUUAAAGGUCAAAGUGCCUUUGCCUUUUUAUAACACACAGUUCUCCAUGUCAGGCUAUAUCUGAAAGGAAGGGACACACACAAGUCUAUUCCCACUCUCAGCCCUCUCAAACACAGACACACACCUCAUCUAACUGUAUUACAGGAGAAACACACACACACACUUUACACACACACUGCAUGAGUGAGUGGUUAAGGCAACUGGAAGAAAAAACACACACACACAAACACACAGGAUGACUGCCCUGCAGAAGUCACACACACACACAGACACACACACUGCAUGAGUGAGUGGUUAAGGCAACUGGAAGAAAACACACACACACACCAACAUACACACAGGAUGUCUGCCCUGCAGAAGUCACUUACACACACUCACUCACACACACACUCAUCGUCUCACACACACACACAUCGUCACACAUACACACACGUACCUGCGUCCUUAUCUUUCCAGGGCCUUUUAAAAUAUUUAAACAUGCCAAAAGUGCAUUGUGGGAGUCCUCCUCUAAAGGCAGGAGUGGAGGAGGGAGGGAGAAUUAAAGGGGGAGAUUCUGUAGGAGGAAGGAGAACAAGACGUUGAGAGAGAAGAUGGAGAACGAGAGGCAGAAAGAGAGAUACAGAGAGAGAGAGAAGAAGAAAGAGACAUACAGAGAGAGAGGGGCUGGAUUUUUUUUCCAAUUCUUCACAUUUCUUCUCUAUUUCAGGGGCACUUUGGGUUUCCUGCCAAACUCACAGAGGCCUGAAUGAAGAGGGGGCAGCAGAUGAACUGGAAGGACGAUGAGCGAGUGUGUGUGUUUGUGCAUACGUGUACGGUGUGUGUGGUGACAGGGAGGCCGGGUGGUGGUGCUACCGGAAGCUGCAAGCCCAGCCCGACUACAACAUCAGAAUAGAAGGCCCUGCAUGGUCGGGUUCGGGCUGAGAUUGGACUCCCUACCUCUGGUUCACAAUGUCUUCAGCUGGCCUCCAUGCUACUAGCCUCUCCUCCAGAUCGCUCAACCCCAUUAAGCACGCGUAGGAUUUAGACCUAGCUUGCUGAACCUGUUCUUAGUGUGAUUUGCCUGCGCAGAGUAAGACUGUGGCAACCUUCCUAAUUUACAAUAAAGUCAAUGCACAGAGUUGUGACUUCUGUUGCCCUGUCCUGUUCCUUGUCGUUGUUUUCCACUAUGUGAAGCAAUAUGUUUUUCCAUUGAUGCAGCGCCCUUGUUGAGAACAAGCCAGAGUUAAACAAUUUGCUUUCUACAUGACGGUGGGAAAAAAAAAAAAAACACGUAGGCAUACUGAUAGUGUAACCAUCCAGCCAGUAGCCUAGUACAGUGUCUCCCAACCUUUUUCAGUUACUGUACCCCCAAAAUGUUUUUGCACUGCUUUCAGUACCCCUGAAGUACCCCCUCAUGUUAAUUUCACUAGUAAGUCUAUGGUGUCACGAGUGUUUUCAAGUACCCCCUGUGGAGAGGCCAAGUACCCCCAGGGGUCCUAGUACCCCUGGUUGGGAACCACUGUCCUAGUAGCUAACAUUAGGUACGUAGCUACAUUGUCGUAGCUUGUACUGAAGUAUAAAGUUACUGUACAUUUAGAAAAGUACCUAGCUAUUUACCUUAUCAGUCUGAACUACUGGCGCUUCUUAGCUUCAUUGUUGGGAAACUGGAAGAACAAUUUGCAAUUACUCACUCCAUAGCAAUGAUUACAACCUGGCUCAAAAUACUGAACCAUGGCUGUGUAUUGUAUAUCGGGAGGUCCUGGAACACAUUGGGGCACUCAAGAGACAUGGCUCCGGUUGGCAAAUCAACGCGAAUAAAGCACAUCGGUAGCAAAAACUGCGGACAACUUGAAGCAAAAACUUUCACAAUCUUGUUGGGCAGUGCUGAGGCUACAAGAGGCUGCAGGAAUAGGC
ensembl:lncRNA